rnacentral:rRNA from 1 species
GAUGAACGCUGGCGGCGUGCUUAACACAUGCCAGUCGAACGAAGCACUUUAUUUGAUUUCCUUCGGGACUGAUUAUUUUGUGACUGAGUGGCGGACGGGUGAGUAACGCGUGGGUAACCUGCCUUGUACAGGGGGAUAACAGUUGGAAACGGCUGCUAAUACCGCAUAAGCGCACGGCAUCGCAUGAUGCAGUGUGAAAAACUCCGGUGGUAUAAGAUGGACCCGCGUUGGAUUAGCUAGUUGGUGAGGUAACGGCCCACCAAGGCGACGAUCCAUAGCCGACCUGAGAGGGUGACCGGCCACAUUGGGACUGAGACACGGCCCAAGCUCCUACGGGAGGCAGCAGUGGGGAAUAUUGCACAAUGGGCGAAAGCCUGAUGCAGCGACGCCGCGUGAGCGAAGAAGUAUUUCGGUAUGUAAAGCUCUAUCAGCAGGGAAGAUAAUGACGGUACCUGACUAAGAAGCACCGGCUAAAUACGUG